rnacentral:rRNA from 1 species
GCAAGUCGAACGGUAGCAGGUCCUUCGGGAUGCUGACGAGUGGCGGACGGGUGAGUAACGCGUAGGAACUUGCCCACUAGAGGGGGAAACCAGGUGGAAACGGCUGUUAAUAACGCAUAUUGCCUUAGGGUGAAAGGUGGCUUUGGCUGUCGCUAGUGGAGAGGCCUGCGUUGGAUUAGCUAGUUGGUGUGGUAAAGGCUCACCAAGGCUACGAUCCAUAGCUGUUUUGAGAGGAUGAUC